GAUGGUCUCUGUUAAACUUUGGAGAACAGAGAAGACCCCAGUACAAACAACACACACCAUGUUCUCUACAUCUCUACUGCUCCUGCUGGCAGCUGCUUCCUAUGUGCAUGGUGUUGAACUGACUCAGCCUGCUUCCAUGACAGUCCAGCCAGGCCAGAGUCUCUCCAUCAACUGCAAGGUUUCGUAUUCAGUUACCACCUAUCAUACAGCUUGGAUCCGACAACCUGCAGGAAAAGCUCUGGAGUGGAUUGGAUACAUUCAUAGCAGUGGGAGUACAUAUUACAAUGACAAACUGAAAAAUAAGUUCAGCAUCUCCAGAGACACUGCUACUAACACAAUAACAAUUGGAGGACAGAAUCUGCAAACUGAAGACACAGCUGUGUAUUACUGUGCAAGAGGCACAGUGACACAGAAUAGUGGCUUCUCCUUACAAAAACUUUAAAACAUGUUAGAGUUCCUCUCAAUGUAACUAAUAAACCAUCUCAUUCACACUUUUACU